AGAUGAGUUGUAUUCCCAGAAACUCAAGUACAAAGCCAUCAGCGAGGAGCUGGACCACGCUCUCAACGACAUGACUUCAAUAUAAAUUGUUCAUCAAAGAUGCGUCCCGCCGGCUGAACGACUUCACUCUGCUCUUUCCAGCCUUUCUUUUCCUCUCAUCCCUCUACAUUGUGUUUUGUUAUCCAUCUAUUCUUGUACAGAACCUUUAAUUAUUUUGGCUUUAUGUAAAACUAUGUAAACAUCUCAUUUUUGUCCUUUUUGUUCUUUACUUCCUUUUCAGUUCUAUGUGCUUUUAUUGCUGUGGCUCUAAUAAAGUCAGAAGCACUGGUAGAAGU